GGGGGCGUCACGGUUUCGACGGGAUUGACUGCGGCAAAGAGGCAUGCCGGGGGGUGGGCACCCGUAAUCGCUCGCAAAACAAUACUUGCCAACAACAAUCUGGCACUCGCAGCUUAAUUAAAUAAGUUGCCGUCCUCUGAGGCUUCGCCUGUGGGCCGAGGCAGGACGUCAUACAGCAGGCUGGUUCCUUCGGCUGGGUCUGGGCCGCGGGGAUGAGAUCCACGGACUAGCAUUCUGCGUAUCUUGUCGCUUCUAAGCGCAGAGUGCGAAACCUAAAGGAAUGCGACUGAGCAUGGAGUCUCUUUUCUGACACCAAUUUCGGACGCGGGUUCGACUCCCGCCGCCUCCACCA
rnacentral:tmRNA from 22 species